rnacentral:RNase_P_RNA from 1 species
CCAGUUGACCGGGUGACCGCUGGCAGUGGGGUAACCUGCUGCUGGAGGAAAGUCCGGGCUCCAUCGAAACACGGUGCCGGUUAAUGGCCGGCGAGGGCGACCUCAGGGAAAGUGCCACAGAAAGGAAACCGCCCCGGCAUGCCGGGGUAAGGGUGAAAGGGUGCGGUAAGAGCGCACCGGGUGUCCAGCAAUGGAGACCGCACGGUAAACCCCACCGGGAGCAAGACCAAAUAGGGAUGACGCGGGACUUCGGUCCCAGCCGGUUUUGAGGCCAGAUCAUCCGGGUUGGUUGCACGAGGCGUCUGGCAACAGGCGUCGCAGAUGAAUGGUCACCACGUCGCGGCAACGCGGCCCUACAGAACCCGGCUUACAGGUCAACUGGCGUU